AAAAAUUAUUAAAAAAAAAAAGAAAUUUGAGGCCCCAUUUCUUUCCCUAAUGGCCACAGAGUCUUUGCAAAAAUUCAGGUCUAUUGGUGGCUUGUGUUGGGCUCUAUCUUAUUUAUUGAGCUGCCUUCUGAAGCCAUGCUGGAGACUCUGUAGUUUUUUGGGCAGCUGACAGGCAAUGAUUCUGAUAGCUGUGCUUUUACGAACUCACCCAGAUCUCUAACUAGUAUGGACGGUUUGAUGCACUGGCAAGAUGCUUGCCAAAAACAUUAGUGCUUUGCAGUUCUCCACCCUUUUGGAAAUGGACAGUUACUCAGAUUGUCCAAGGAAAACUCUGCUUGAUCUGGAUCUGAGGUGGCUUAUUGGGUAAAUGAGAUCAGGGUCACAUUAAACAGCAGCAGUCGUGAGUUGAUGGAGGGAUGGACCAGUUAGGAGUUCGUGUAUCAGAUGGCCAUGAUGAAGCCCGAUCAGAGGCAGCAGGGUCGGAGAGGGGCUGUGGGUGAAGCUCCCUGCUCCCAUAGGGUGGGCCUGGAGAUCUGAAACAGGGAAUGUGGGGCACGCUCCCCCUCACCUAACCCCCCAUGCCGGCCCUCCGACCUCCCUGAAAGGUCAUGAAACAGACACAACACACGUGCAGCCCACAAGGCUGUGGAACCUGGGACAUCUGAGCAAGAUAAUUUAUAUUUGUGCCUUGUUUUGAACUCCUUGCAGCUUGCAUGCUAUCAAUCCGUAUUUAUUAGUUGAGAGUGUGGUGGUAGGUAGAAUAACGGCUUCCCAAAGAUGGCCACAUUCUGGAAUCUGUGAGUAUGUUACCUGCAAAAAGGGUUUUGCAGAUGCGAUCAGGAUUAAGGACCUUGAGAUCAGGAGAUUUCUCUGGAUUAUCUGGGUGGGGCCGAUGUAAUCACCAGUCUUAAAAUUUUGAGUCAGAGAAGGAGAUGUGAUGAGGAAAACAGAACCAGAUUGGUGCAAUGUCAGAAACACUCAACCAGCCAUUGCUGGCUUUGAAGAUGGAGGAAGGAGCCACUAGCCGAAGAAUGAAGGUGGAUUCUGGAACCAGAAAAGGGAAAGAAAUGGAUUGUCCCCUAGAAGAUUCUCCCCUGUGUUCCAGAAGGAACACAGCCCUGCUGACACAUUAAUUUAGCCCAGCGAGACCUGUUUUGGACUUCUGACCAACAGAACUGUAAGAGAGUGAAUGUGUGUUGUUUCAGGCCACCAAGCUGGUGGUGAUUUGUCACAGCCGCUGCAGGAAAUGCGUGCAAGCGUGCUGCUGGAUGGUCUUGGCUCCCUGAGUGAGCCUUGCUUUGGUCGCUGCAAACUGGGAAGCCACCAGGGAGCCUUUAUGCAGAACGUCCACAUUGUGGGAGGAAUUUAGGCACAAAUACACCCCAAAGCCAGAACUUUCUGGGGUUUUAGAAUUGGGAUAUUUGAAGCCCCUUCCUUAAAAUUAAUGUUAGUAUAUUACUACUUUUAUGGAUAGAAAAAAAUUCUCCUACCCUUUAAAGAGAGAUGCUUUGGUUAAGAGUGGAAUUAUAUAGGUCAGAGCUCUAUUUCAAACCAACUGUCUUUAUUUUCAUUUGAAUUUGGGGCCAAGACUAUUUACAGAUCAUAAUAUAGCCACUUGAAUUUCCUGAAGUGUUUAUAGGAUUUUCUCAUGUGGAAUAUCAUUAAAUGGUGAAGGUACAUCAUUAAGCUUAAUUAUGAGCUUCUCAAAAGACGCACUUUUUCCAAAAAGAAAGUCUCGCAGAGUGGGAGGAGCUAAUAACCAUGACCUCCGUACCCUUGAAGCAGAUGGUCACCUGGCUGACUUACUUCCUGCCCCUAUGUUCACUUUCUUUUGUAUCCCAGCAGCAUUUAUUUGUUAGUGAUUAGUUUUUAUAAAUUCCAUUUCCUUUUUUUUCUUACUCUUGCUAACCUGAGAACCAACAAAGUCAGCUACCUUUGAGGUUUGAGAUAAAUGUUUAUUCUUUCUCAGAAUUUUAUCUGGUAUUUGGGUAGCCUGAAAAUGCUGUGACAUUUUCACUGAUAUGAUUAUACCAUGUAGCCAGUAUAGAGUGCUAACGGUCAGGGGUUUUUUAUUAUUGGCAAACUUGUCUCUUAUUAGCGUGUUGAAAAUAUUAAACACAUACACGUAGGAUAUUGUUUUUAGUUCUAUAGGCUUAUGCCAAAGUCCUCCCAAAUAUAAGAACGUGAAAAUAAGGGAUAUAAGAAUUGGUCUUAAAUUUUGAUAUUCAUCUGUUGGGCCUUCAGGUCAGAGCCCAGAAUGCUGUGUCUCUUUAAGGAGGUGAAGAGUUCCCGGGCCUUCAGCUAACGUGUAGCCUAAGUGAAUUAGCCCCUGUGAACAGAAGAGGCUUGCUCUCAGGUGGAGACCUUGAGAAGGGAAACUCUUGAGACAGACAUUGGAAUUGCCUCUCUAUACUUUGUCCUCAGAGCACAGAUCUGUGGCAGGUAGCGACAGCCAACGAAAUAUAUAGUCUAAUUGCUCUGGAAAGAUGGGUUGAAAUGACCUGCACGUACUUGUCCUGGUUUCCCCAGCAGCAUUCUGGUGGUUACUUGGCUCCCUGUGUCACAGAUCUUGCUAUUUGGGAAAACAUUCUGGUCCCUGUGAUGAUGUUUCCCAUCGCAGAAGAGCUGGUGCUCCAAUCAUGGCCUGCGCUGUGGACUUGAAGGCUCUGCCCUGGCUGGUUGAACCGGGUUUCUGGGUGUGCAGGGUGCGUCCAACCACGUCUCUGGACUGCACUGAGUCCUAAGAGCUGAGCAGCCUCCUGUGGGAAGGCUGGCCAGGUUGUAUCUGGUGGCCACACGCGCACAGCUGCACACUGCCCCACGUAACUGCACUAGGACGGGGACGUGAUGUGCAGAUGAUGUUGAGAGUUUUGUGGCCACACCUGCAUUUGCAUCUUGGCUCUGUCACUUCAUAGUUCCUUGACCUUGGACAUAUUACUUGAGCUUGCUGGACCUCAGUUUUCUUAUCUGUGAAUUGAGGAGACCACCUCCAUUUUAGGGUCCUUGGUACAUAGAAAGUGUUUAAGAAAAUUUAGCUGUAGUAUUAGUUAAUUAGCUAAAGGCAUUGUGAGUCCCUGCAAACAGCUCAUUCAUUCAUUCCUUUAAUACAAGAACACCGCCCCUCUCUGUGCCACACAUGGUGCCGUGCCCGUUCCUGGGAGAGAGCAGCCAGAGGGCCCCAAGACCUCGUUUGCUUUGCUGCCUCCUUGGCUUUUAUGUUCUUUUUCUCAUCUGAUUAUACAAAAAGAGAUAAAUAGAUACUUACUUUAAAUCAUUUGAAAUGUAAGGAUUCCAAUGUAAGCUCUUAAACCAGUCUCAGUCACCCAGCUUUAAAUCAUACACAGAGAAGAAUUUGAUACAAACUUCAUUUUUUCUUGAAGGGUUACUGUGUGUUGGGAGCCAGCGUGUAAAGACACUCUAUUACAGCAACAUUUUUAGUUUUAAAUCUUUACAUUGGUUGUGCCGGGGAAUUUAUUUUUAUGGCUAUUAAUUUUUCUUUUGAAAUUAAUAUGCUAAGGGAUACAUUUAAUGAUCCAUAAAAAUAUUGACUUUAUGUAAAAGAAAAGCUAAAGCUAAUUAGCAUAUUAUAAUUUGCAUAUGUAGUCCCGCUCAUUAGAUAUAAAUGUGUUUCCCAUGUAACGCAUGAUAUUUUUUGACUCUGACAUAUAAGAAGACAUUGCUCUUUUCAAAUUUAACCUUUUGGGUGAUAAACAGAAUUCUGUUGACCUGUUACAGGCUCUGUGUUGAAAGUAAAAUAUUUUUGUGGUUACUGAUUUCAUAGUGAAAGCAGUGCUUUCCGUAGUUUUGGGUUAGAAUCCUUUUAUGUGUGUGGGUUGAGGGAGACAGAAGCAGAGGGCUGGCGGUCUUGGCUAGGAAACUCAGAGCGUCUGGAGGACCAGUUUUGUGGUCUCCAGGGUGUUGUUUACAAGGAGGACCCAGGGGCCUCCAGAAAAAGGGUGCAGACCAAGAAAGAUGGCCCCGAGAGUCAGCGGCCGUUGUCAGCUUUGAGGGUGAGAUGGGAUUUAUGCCUUGCACAUUGCCCUCUGUGGGCCUGGCCUGGUGAACCCGUGGCCCAGUCCCAGCAGGCAGUGGUGCUUUAAAAAAUCGAGUGUGAACACUAAAUGGUGUGUAGGGUCCUGGGGUGGGGCGGGUAUGCAGGAAGCACAGAGCAGUGCUGCUUAUGGCCCACAUGGAGCAUAGCGUGGGAUGAAAGGUGGCCCCCCAUUUGGAAUUACGAGUAAGUCAGGGACUUGGAGUGGAAGAGAGAGAGAGAGAGAUGGGCCAGCAUGCUCCGAUGGGGGGUGCAGGUCGUGGAGAUUGUCAGUGAUGGAGAACUCACUGGUGCCACUGCAAGGGAGACAUGGCAGGUAUCUCCCACGUUGUUCAUGGCCACCAGCCUUGAAUCUAGAGCCCAGUGGGGAGCAUUUCGGGGUGGCCCUGUUCCAACAGGGAGGGAGAGGGCCGGCUGCAGAUUUUGGUUGCUGUUUCUCAUGACCCCUAUUGUGUGGCCCAGGCCGUGUGGUAUCUGGAAAACAGUGCUGCCAACCCCUUGGUGUGUUUUUGUGGAUGUCCUGGCUGUGUAGCUCCUACAGGAGAUGAGCUCAGAGAGCCUCAGGCUCUGCACGGGGCAGGCAUUAGGCUCCGGUUGCUCAUCCAGACUUUUGUUGUGAUGGUUUGAAACAUGCAACCCAAAUCCUUCCCUAAGGAGCCGCUCUGCUAGGGCGUUCUUGGACAUGAGCCAGCAGCGCCAGAGUCAGCCAGAGAGGGACGGAGGAAAGUUUUUCCCCUUUAGGCUCCCCUUGAGGGCUCUCAGAAGAAGUGGGUGGCUGGACGGGAGAAGGUGAGGGAGUGGAGAGGGAGGAUCAGAGCGACACAUUCCCGUGCCCACGCCGGGCACAGCCACAGUCGUCAGCCCUGUCUGUGGAGGGGAGCCACCACCUGAAAAUACCGCUAAGAAGCCCAGAUGCAUACAGGCCCAUCAGUGGAGAUUUAUUCUCUUGGACUGAACGGUGUCUCUGCAGGAUUGUCUUCUUUGAAGGACACCAGUUCUAUUGAACUAAGGGCCCGCCCUGCUCCAGGAUGACCUCAUCUUAUCCCAUUACAUCUGCGACAACCCUGUUUCCAAAUAAGGUCACAUUCUGAGGUACUGGGGGUUAGGGCUUCCAUGUAUCUGUUUUGGGGGGCCCAGUUCAACUCAUAUAUCUACUAAAUCUUCAUCCCUCUUUACAAAAUUGUCUUCGAGGGAAAUCCAGCUCAGCACCUGAAGCCCGUUGAAAUGCUACCUCUUUCCUGAGGCCUUUCAUGAACUUCCCUCCCUGCCCCUCUCUCUUUUGUGCUCCCCACAUCUCUUAUGCACUCAUCAUGUGGCUCAUUGUCCCUCGCUAUUCAGCAUGGCUCCCCUUCCUGAGAGCAGAAAUCGUCCAAUGGCUCUCUGUACCUUUGAUUGAGUCCAGAGACACUUCUUUGUGGAAUGGCUUAGGAUCUCACAAACCAGUACCAUUUGGGAAUUCAGCGAUGAAGGAGAAUCUGGGAAUUCAGGAUCAAGGAGCUAUUAGAGUAGAUGGGGACUAACCAGGUGAGCUUCCCUGAGAGUGAUGGGAUAGGGCUUUGGGAGAUGGGAGGCAGAGAGAACCUUCUAGGCUGUUUCUUGAACAUAUUUUUUUGUCGCAGGGGAAGAUCAUGAGCGUGCCUCCUUAUGUUGACGUGUUUGAAUGUUCUGCACUGGGUCUCAUAGCUUGGACAGCAGUCAGUUACGGGUUCAUUGUUCACGGCCACAGCUGGGAGGCUCCCUGUCAAACUCUGCCCUCUGCACUGUUUUGAAUAUCCCACCUGUGCUGCUAUCUGUGUGUUUAGUGAGACGGUCACCCCUCUUUAGUGAGAGAGAGAGAGAGUAGCAAGCGAGAAGGAGAAGCAGACUCCCCGCUGAGCAGGGAGCACAACGUGGGUCCUAUCCCAGGACCCUGGGAUUAUGACCUGAGCCCAAGGCAGACGCUCAAUCAACUGAGCCACCCAGGCUCCCUGUCCUUUCAUAGUUUUGCAGAGUGUGGAACAUCACAGCGAAGAGGACUUUUGGGAAAAAUGUCAAGAGAGGAGCUUAAGGGGUGAUUCAGUUGACUAGAAGGGGAAAAUGUGUAGUAGACGGUCUACAAGGUAUUUCACAGCUCUCAAGUGUUAAUGUAACAGGAGCACAAAUGCUGGUGAUGAAUUCAGGACCAUUGUCUCCAAAACUGGCAAACAGUAAGUAAGGAAUAAUUAGAGGGUUUCAGCCCAAUGUAACACAUUAUGCAAGAAGUGUUAAAUGAAGAAGUCUUACUGUUUAAACAUGCUCUCUUUUCUUUUUCAUACAGAAAAGUACAGACAGUAAUACCACAAGCACUCACGGACCACUCCCUGGAAUUAAUGAAUAUUUAUAACAUUGUGCUAUGUUUGCCUCAGAUUUUUUUGAAAUGAAAGCAGUAAAAUAUUUCUGAUAAA